rnacentral:rRNA from 1 species
UCAGGGAAGAACACAAUGACGGUACCUGAUGAAUCAGCAUCGGCUAACUCCGUGCCAGCAGCCGCGGUAAUACGGAGGAUGCAAGCGUUAUCCGGAAUUAUUGGGCGUAAAGCGUCCGCAGGUGGUUUUGAAAGUUUGCUGUCAAAGCGCGAGGCUCAACUUCGUAUCGGCGGUGAAAACUUCAAGACUAGAGCUAGGUAGGGGUCACGGGAAUUCCCAGUGUAGCGGUGAAAUGCGUAGAUAUUGG